rnacentral:rRNA from 1 species
UACGUAGGUGGCAAGCGUUGUCCGGAUUUACUGGGCGUAAAGGGCGUGCAGGCGGUUUGUUAAGUGCAGGGUGAAAGCUCCCGGCUCAACUGGGAGAGGUCCUUGCAUACUGGCAGACUUGAGGGAGGCAGAGGAAAGUGGAAUUCCCGGUGUAGUGGUGAUAUGCGUAGAUAUCGGGAGGAACACCUGUGGCGAAGGCGGCUUUCUGGACCGUAACUGACGCUGAGACACGAAAGCGUGGGUAGCAAACAGG